rnacentral:lncRNA from 1 species
UGGAAAAGAGUUUAGACAAGAAACCCAGAAACUCCUUUAAUGAGAAGGACCUUUGGCUAUUUGGAAUAUUGGCCCUUGUUCCUGCCAGGGAACUCUUGGCUUUUUGUGGAAAAUUGGGUACAUUUCCAUGAUGGCCUUCAUCAACAGACCUCUUCUCUCACCUCCCGGAAGAAGUUACUGCCUUUCUUCAGCAUCUGUGCUUUCCUUCCCAGCCGUCAAGUCAAACAGUGAUUAAGUGCCUACUGUAUGCACGGCUCCAGUUGCCGGAUGGGUUCUUGUUCUCAAAUCGCUCCCACCACCAAAGUGGCCUCCUGGCCUGGCACAGCCGACCAGCCCCACCAGGAAAUCCGGGACUGGACCUGGGCAGAACAGAAUGGCUGUCCUCCAGAGUUUAGACAACUGGUCCACACUGAAGACAUUGUUUCUGAAAGAGUUCCCAUGACAACCUCCCUCUUCAAGGGUAUAGAGAAUUUAUUCAAAGUCAGAUACAGACUGGCCAAACCACCUUCUACAAAGUGGACAGGAAAAAAGAGCCUACAGAAAAGGUAGGAGUUGUUAUAAAAUUGCCUUAAUUCCGCUCUCUCUGCGUUACAAGCCGGGGGUGGGCAGUGGACUGCCAUGCUGUGU